rnacentral:lncRNA from 1 species
UGUCUAUUCACUUCAUUCUGAAGCAGCUCUUCCAUUGCCUCUUCUUCAGCAAUAUCUAAUGGAGUGUCUCCUUCACUAUUUACAGCUCCUACAUGUGCUCCUUGACUAAUUAAAUACUCUGCUAUAUCAAGAUAUCCACAGGAAGCAGCUGCAUGUAGAGGUAUCCAGCCUUCAUUAUCUGGUUGAUUAAUAUUUGCUCCAUUUUCCACCAGAAAUUUCACCAUAUCUACGUUAUCAUCUAUACAAGCCUGGUGGAGCGCCGUGAGCCCGUCCACAUUGGCGUAGUUGAUGUCGGCGCCGCGCUCCAACAGCCGCAGCACCUCCUCCGUGUCCCCGCUGGAGCAGGCGGCCAGGAAGACGGCGCCGUCGUCGAACUUCACCUUGGUCUUUUUGCGCUUGACCACGGGCGGCUCCAGGUCGGUCUCGGAGCCGAUCCAGCGCUUCAGCUGCUCGUUCCGCUUCUGCUUGGCGUCCGCCAUCUUCAUGCCCCGCUCCCGCCUGACCCCCUCGCUAUCGCCGCGCCGAGGAUAGACUAUAUACCGCCGUAUCCCACAGCGCACCGCGGCCCGCGCUCGCCCUCGCUCACGCACCCACCCAGAUGGAAGCGUAAGGCGGGAGGGAGCCGAGAGGCGGGGCGGCGGCGGCGGCUCCUUAGCAUAAUCCCGCGAGAUUUCCCGGCGGGGCGGAGCACGAAAGAAGAGGGCAGGGGCGCGCGGCGGGCGAGGUGUGGCCGUGAGGCCGUGACGUCACGGGAGGACGGGGGCGGUGGCGGGGCCGGGCCGGGCCGGGGCGGUGCCGAGGCGGUGCCGAGGCGCGGUUGGCUUUUGCGCGGGCCGCGGGUUCAAGAGUUCAGCGGAAGGGGUCACUGGUUCGGUUAGGGCAGCCCAUGCAGGCCUCGGGAACCAAAGCAAGGCUGUAAGCGUGCUACUUCCCUGUUCGCGUCUUCUUCCGCUUGCGGCUCUGUUAGCAGAGCGACUACAGCCGCUCUGAGAAGAACACGUGCAGGGCCGCUGAGGAGCCCCUGCUUGGGGAAGCUAAGCCUGCCCGCGAUUGGGCGGCCUGGUGUCAAAGCAGUGUGCCCUGAGGUGCCUGUGCACAAACCUCUGCGCUCACAGAACCCGGAGCUGCUGUGCUGGUUUCAGUUACGUUUCACUUUUAUUGCCUGAAGAUCUGGAGCAGUGCACCCUGUUUCUGUUGGGAGAAAAGGAAUUACAACGCACACAGCCUUUGAAGACACAAACAUUGUGUUCAGAACUGCUCCUUCUAGGAACCAAGCUGUUACGGGCAGUUAAUUCCUUUCCCUGCACAUAGCAUGUUUUCUUUAGCUAUAAACAACAUAUUUUCUUCUGAAUUGAAUAAUCUCUGGGGGUAAAACGUUGCUUUAAGCUUACUGGAAAAGAAGCUCAAAUUUCAACUAAUUACAGGAAACAAAGUAUAGUUUGAGAGGGUCACCAAACCUCAUACUCGUCAAAUUUUGUGUGGUUUGUUCUUUCCUACAAUCACUCCGUUUGCUGCGGUCUCUCAGCCUGCUCAGGCUUCUUAUUUCUAUCAUUAAAAACGUUGGUGGCAUUUCACAAGGAGCGGUGGUCAGAAGGUUGCGUACCUGCAGCAGUGUGUGUUCUCACUAACACCCUUCAGAGCAGGUUUUCACCUGGAACUAUUUGCAUAGCACCCAUCAGAUGUACUCGCACAGCAGUGCAUGACACACAGCCCACUGAAAAAUUGCAGAUGUAAGUUGCAGGUAUUUAAAGGAUGGCAUCUGGUAGGCAAGACAAAAGAUUUGCCAAAGAGAGGUUUGCUAUCCAAAUAUGUCAACAAAAACCCGGGACCUAAUUAAUACAUUCCUAUUGAUGACCCAUGUGUCUACUUGGAGAUACAGCUUAGGUUCAUGGAUCUGAAAGUAUGGCUGAUUGUGCACAAUCCAUUUCAGAAGUGGUCAUCAUAGCAUUUAUUACUUACGUGGGUAAUUGAGUUGUGCCCAAUAUACACAUUUACCAGCCUACAGCUUGGCUGCAUCUACUGACUCAUAUUUAAGGUGAGGAUCUGUGCAGGAUCCAGCUGCAUACUGCAGUCUUGUCCUCUUUGGCACAUUUCCUUGGGGAUGGACCUUCAAUCCAAUGACACUUGCUAAGCAUACUACUUUCCCAGAGAAAGGUAACUCAGGAAAGAACAUCUGUCCCCAGAUGUCCCCAGUAUUUUAAAUAUACCCUCCCCAGUAGUCUGCUUCUUUCUUUCCCUCUCAACUGGCUGUCUGAAAAUUUGACUCUUCAAAGAACCCGCAUACCUACAGAAUGCAAUACACUGAUUUCGGCAAGAUUUUAAAUCAAGUGCUGUACUGGCAGUAAAGUAAUUCUAGGCAAGUUGAUAGGUGCUUGUUUGAAAUGCCCUCUGAGGAAUUUCAUUGGUAUGGAGCACUUAUUUUAGGUUUCCAUAAAGGCUCCGGUUACCUCUCCUUGACUUCAUUCGUCUAGCUCAACUUUUUCUUUUUGAUCAUCGAACCUCC